rnacentral:tRNA from 1 species
GGCUUGUGGCUCAGUGGUAGAGCAUUUGCCUCACAUGUGUGAGGCACUGGGUUCGGUUCUCAGCACUA